GAAAUGUCUCCACUUCUGCUAAAUUAAUGCUCUUCUUUUUUAUUUCAGUCUUCUUUGAAAAGAAUGUAUUACUCCGUUAUGAAAAAACAGUCAAUGCUUUUCAGUUGUAUAACUGGAUUUCUAUUAUAUGUGCAGACCCAGGGGAAACCCUACAAACUGAAUUAACUAGAGCAGGAUUUUUUUUUAAUUUUUUAAAAUAUUUUAUUUAUUUAUUUGACAGACAGGGAUCACAAGUAAGCAGAGAGUCAGGCAGGGUAGGGGGGAAGCAGGCUCCC